AUUGAACGCUGGCGGCAUGCCUAACACAUGCAAGUCGAGCGAGCGGCGGACGGGUGAGUAAUGUCUGGGAAACUGCCUGAUGGAGGGGGAUAACUACUGGAAAAGGUAGCUAAUCCCGCAUACAAUCAGAUUUGCCCAGAGUGGAGUAGCUAGUAGGUGGGGUAACGGCUCACCUAGGCGACGAUCCCUAGCUGGUCUGAGAGGAUGACCAGCCAAACUGGAACUGAGACACGGUCCAGACUCCUACGGGAGGCAGCAGUGGGGAAUAUUGGACAAUGGGCGCAAGCCUGAUGCAGCCAUGCCGCGUGUGUGAAGAAGGCCUUCGGGUUGUAAAGCACUUUCAGCGGGGAGGCGUUACCCGCAGAAGAAGCACCGGCUAACUACGUGCCAGCAGCCGCGGUAAUUC
rnacentral:rRNA from 1 species